rnacentral:rRNA from 1 species
UACGGGGGGGCAAGCGUUGUUCGGCAUUACUGGGCGUAAAGGGCUCUUAGGCGGCCAACUAAGUCGGGUGUGAAAUCCCCAGGCUCAACUUGGGAACUGCAUCCGAUACUGGAUGGCUUGAAUUCGGGAGAGGGAUGCAGAAUUCCAGGUGUAGCGGUAAAAUGCGUAGAUAUCUGGAGGAAUACCGGUGGCGAAGGCGGCAUCCUGGACCGACAUUGACGCUGAGGAGCGAAAGCUAGGGGAGCAAACGGG